rnacentral:rRNA from 1 species
UAGGGAAUCUUCGGCAAUGGGGGGAACCCUGACCGAGCAACGCCGCGUGAGUGAAGAAGGUUUUCGGAUCGUAAAGCUCUGUUGUUAAGGAAGAACGAGUGUGAGAAUGGAAAGUUCAUACUGUGACGGUACUUAACCAGAAAGGGACGGCUAACUACGUGCCAGCAGCCGCGGUAAUACGUAGGUCCCGAGCGUUGUCCGGAUUUAUUGGGCGUAAAGCGAGCGCAGGCGGUCAAUUAAGUCUGAUGUGAAAGCCCCCGGCUCAACCGGGGAGGGUCAUUGGGAACUGGUUGACUUGAGUGCAGAAGAGGAGAGUGGAAUUCCAUGUGUAGCGGUGAAAUGCGUAGAUAUAUGGAGGAACACCAGUGGCGAAGGCGACUCUCUGGUCUGUAACUGACGCUGAGGCUCGAAAGCGUGGGGAGCGAACAGG